rnacentral:rRNA from 1 species
AUUGAACGCUGGCGGCAGGCCUAAUACAUGCAAGUCGAGCGGAGCGGCGGACGGGCGAGUAAUUCCUAGGUAUCUGCCUGGUCGUGGGGGAUAACGUCCGGAAACGGGCGCUAAUCCCGCAUACUAUCAGAUGAGUCUAGGUCGGAUUGGAUAGGUGGUGGGUUAAAGGCCUACCAAGGCGACGAUCCGUAGCUGGUCUGAGAGGAUGAUCAGUCACACGGGAGAUGAGACACGGUCCAGAAUCCUACGGGAGGCAGCAGUGGGGAAUAUUGGACAAUGGGCGAAAGCCUGAUCCAGCCAUGCCGCGUGUGUGAAGAAGGUCUUCGGAUUGUAAAGCACUUUAAGUUGGGAGGCGGUACCAAAAGAAUAAGCACCGGCUAACUUCGUGCCAGCAGCCGCGGUAAUAC